rnacentral:rRNA from 1 species
CCUACGGGAGGCUGCAGUGGGGAAUAUUGCACAAUGGGCGCAAGCCUGAUGCAGCCAUGCCGCGUGUGUGAAGAAGGCCUUCGGGUUGUAAAGCACUUUCAGCGGGGAGGAAGGCGUUAAGGUUAAUAACCUUGUCGAUUGACGUUACCCGCAGAAGAAGCACUGGCUAACUCCGUGCCAGCAGCCGCGGUAAUACGGAGGGUGCAAGCGUUAAUCGGAAUUGCUGGGCGUAAAGCGCACGCAGGCGGUCUGUCAAGUCGGAUGUGAAAUCCCCGGGCUCAACCUGGGAACUGCAUUCGAAACUGGCAGGCUAGAGUCUUGUAGAGGGGGGUAGAAUUCCAGGUGUAGCGGUGAAAUGCGUAGAGAUCUGGAGGAAUACCGGUGGCGAAGGCGGCCCCCUGGACAAAGACUGACGCUCAGGUGCGAAAGCGUGGGGAGCAAACAGGAUUAGAUACCCCGGUAGUC